UCAGAUUGAACGCUGGCGGCAGGCUUAACACAUGCAAGUCGAGCGGGGACUUCGGUCCUAGCGGCGAACGGGUGAGGAAUGCUUGGGAAUCUGCCCAGUAGCGGGGGAUAACGUUUCGAAAGGAACGCUAAUACCGCAUACGCCCUACGGGGGAAAGGGGGGGAUCUUCGGACCUCUCACUAUUGGAUGAGCCCAAGUCGGAUUAGCUAGUUGGUGGGGUAAAGGCCUACCAAGGCGACGAUCCGUAGCUGGUCUGAGAGGAUGAUCAGCCACACUGGAACUGAGACACGGUCCANACUCCUACGGGAGGCAGCAGUGGGGAAUAUUGGACAGUGGGCGAAAGCCUGAUCCAGCCAUGCCGCGUGUGUGAAGAAGGCCUUCGGGUUGUAAAGCACUUUAAGCGAGGAGGAAGGUUCGUCACCUAAUACGUGACGGAAUUGACGUUACUCGCAGAAUAAGCACCGGCUAACUCUGUGCCAGCAGCCGCGGUAAUACAGAGGGUGCAAGCGUUAAUCGGAAUUACUGGGCGUAAAGCGCGCGUAGGCGGUUGUGUAAGUUGGAUGUGAAAUCCCCGGGCUUAACCUGGGCACUGCAUUCAAAACUGCACGGCUAGAGUAUGGGAGAGGAAGGUAGAAUUCCAGGUGUAGCGGUGAAAUGCGUANAGAUCUGGAGGAAUACCGAUGGCGAAGGCAGCCUUCUGGCCUAAUACUGACGCUGANGUGCGAAAGCAUGGGGAGCAAACAGGAUUANAUACCCUGNAGUCCAUGCCGUAAAC
rnacentral:rRNA from 1 species